rnacentral:rRNA from 1 species
GACGAACGCUGGCGGCGUGCUUAACACAUGCAAGUCGAACGAUGAAGCCGGAGCUUGCUCCGGUGGAUUAGUGGCGAACGGGUGAGUAACACGUGAGCAAUCUGCCCUUGACUCUGGGAUAACUGCGGGAAACUGUAGCUAAUACCGGAUACGACACCUUGGGGCAUCCCAGGGUGUGGAAAGAAUUUCGGUCAAGGAUGAGCUCGCGGCCUAUCAGCUAGUGGGUGAGGUAAUGGCUCACCAAGGCGACGACGGGUAGCCGGCCUGAGAGGGUGACCGGCCACACUGGAACUGAGACACGGUCCAGACUCCUACGGGAGGCAGCAGUGGGGAAUAUUGCACAAUGGGCGAAAGCCUGAUGCAGCAACGCCACGUGAGGGAUGAAGGCCUUCGGGUUGUAAACCUCUUUUAGCAGGGAAGAAGCGAAAGUGACGGUACCUGCAGAAAAAGCACCGGCUAACUACGUGCCAGCAGCCGCGGUAA